rnacentral:sRNA from 1 species
UAUAAUGACGUAGUGAGGGUGUCCUUA